GUUUAGUCGCUCAAACCGAUUCAUUCGCACACAUCUUCGGAGAUCGGAGAAUUGUGCUAUGUAGGUAUGUAUCAACAUGCUGCUGUCAAACGUCCGCAGAACAAGUUCUAUCGGCAAGUAGGCGGCGCUCAUUGCUGUUUGUGCUGGUAGUACAUCGAAGUAGUAUAGUACACAGUAGGUACAACUAUGCACUGUUCUGGCCCCCUCGAUACCAAACACCCACCCACCCCCAUCAGACGGCAGACAGCUGAUCAUCGUAAUUCCAAUCUACGGUAAGGCAAGUAGGAAUAGUCGUUCGCUCCAACCGAGGUACCUAGCUAAAAAUUACCCGGCUGCGUCGAGAGUUUGCCAGCAGCGCGCAAGCAAAGGCAUUACUUAUUGUGCAAUCGAUCCUUUCGCGUUUGUUUAGUAUGCGGCUAUCUCACGUUCAAGGUUGCCGGAAGCGAUUUUCAAAUGAUUCAGAAAGUUGACUCACGGUGAAGGUCCAACGGAUUCCUAAUGUAUUAGAAGAUAGGGGUAACAUCACGUAUCCGGGCCGGGCAAAUCUGGGUAAUUUUAUAUUAAAACCUGGCAAAUUUCACGCAUUAAAAAUAAAAAAUUGACUACCAAAAAUCCGGGCAAUAUCAGUCAAAUUUGAUAAAAAACCCAGAAAUGACUCAGCAAAAAUCAUGGAAAAAUUUAAAAAAAAUAAUUCAAUCUCAUCGACAGAUCGACUAAUCGACUUCCAUAAAACCUUUAAUGAUUAUUUUUAUUGAACUUGCUCAAAAAAUUCAUUUUUGAGGCACACAUAAAAAAAAUUACAACACAUUUUUUUAUUUGCAAAAUAAAAUGAAUAAAUGCAGGCAAAAUCCGGGUUUUUUUUCAAUAAAAUCCGGGCAACCAAGCCGGGCCAGACUGAUCCCUAAUUCCGGGAAAACCCGGAUAAAAACGGGCAGUCAACCUUUCCUUAGGAGCAAAUAAAUUUCAAAAAAAGAUUUAUUGAUUGGAAAUGAAAAGAUAAACUAUUGUGAGUUCUGAGUUCUUGAUUCUGAACUCUGCAUUCUGAGUUCUAAGUUCUGAACUCUGU